rnacentral:rRNA from 1 species
GAUGAACGCUGGCGGCGUGUCUAACACAUGCAAGUCGAGCGAUUUACUUCGGUAAAGAGCGGCGGACGGGUGAGUAACGCGUGGGUAACCUGCCCUGUACACACGGAUAACAUACCGAAAGGUAUGCUAAUACGAGAUAAUAUACUUUUAUCGCAUGGUAGAAGUAUCAAAGCUUUUGCGGUACAGGAUGGACCCGCGUCUGAUUAGCUAGUUGGUAAGGUAACGGCUUACCAAGGCGACGAUCAGUAGCCGACCUGAGAGGGUGAUCGGCCACAUUGGAACUGAGACACGGUCCAAACUCCUACGGGAGGCAGCAGUGGGGAAUAUUGCACAAUGGGCGAAAGCCUGAUGCAGCAACGCCGCGUGAGCGAUGAAGGCCUUCGGGUCGUAAAGCUCUGUCCUCAAGGAAGAUAAUGACGGUACUUGAGGAGGAAGCCCCGGCUAACUACGUGCCAGCAGCCGCCGCGGUAA